rnacentral:misc_RNA from 1 species
AGGAUCUAGCAUAUCUAGAUCUUAUUGAAGUUUAGUCUAUACCAACCAGUGGAAAAAAGGAUCUAUAUAGUAUACUCCAACUUGAUUAGGACAAGGUUGAGUUUGAGCCUGCUUCCUCUGAUAACAACCCUGAGAGGCGCUUUUGAAUUUUUUACCAGAAUCACUCCAAUGAUAAUAGGGUGGUAAUAUUGUGCUUUUGAGUUUUAAUGUGUUGUAUGAAGUUCAUAGGCACAUUGCAUAACUGAUUCCAAAUCAUGGUAAGAACUAUAGCUCAUGAUAGCAUACAAAUAAUAAGUUGACCAAACUACAAAGGAAACACAUAAAUGUUUAAAUCAAUACUCCCACUUCUACUCUCAUAGUCUCAUUUGGUAAGGAUUAUAAAGCAGUGUGUGGAGAUAUGAUUAUACAUCCAUUGUCUUUAGAUGUUAUGACUAAGGUUUUGAUUUCUUAUAAAGAUGAUAUAUUCUAUAUUUAUAGAUCUAUAUUCUGUCUUUAGAAAGUUCAACAUGAGUUGUUG